rnacentral:rRNA from 1 species
CGGCGGACGGGUGAGUAACACGUGGGUAACCUACCUAUAAGACUGGGACAACUUCGGGAAACCGGAGCUAAUACCGGAUAAGAUAUCGAACCGCAUGGUUCGAUAGUGAAAGAUGGUUUUGCUAUCACUUAUAGAUGGACCCGCGCCGUAUUAGCUAGUUGGUGAGGUAACGGCUCACCAAGGCAACGAUACGUAGCCGACCUGAGAGGGUGAUCGGCCACACUGGAACUGAGACACGGUCCAGACUCCUACGGGAGGCAGCAG